rnacentral:rRNA from 1 species
UUGAAAGGGAAACGAUUGAAGUCAGUCGUACCUAUGGGUAAUCAGCCUUUUGGGUGUGAUUUUGUGGAGCGUGAGGAGUUAAACGCCUUCAUGCCUGCAUAUUCGUGCACUUUGGGUGUACUUGCCCGUGUGUAAGUUAACAUCAAUUUUGGUGGUCAUAAAAUGGCUGGAGGAAUGUAGCUUCGAUCUUGUAUUGAAGUGUUAUAGCCUUCGGUAGAUGUGACGAUCGGGAUUGAGGAUUGCAACGGAUACCCUUCGGGGCUACCUAUCUGAUCUCUGAUCGUUGCUCUGGUGCCGAAAGCUUGCUUACGGUUAUCAAAGUCGAUGGUCAAUAGGUUAGAAUGGGUUAAAUUCGUUAAGGAUGUUGACGUA